GCACCCGUAGCUCAACUGGAUAGAGCGUUGGUCUCCGGAGCCAAAGGUCGUAGGUUCGAAUCCUGUCGGGUGCA
rnacentral:tRNA from 1 species